rnacentral:rRNA from 1 species
UACGUAGGGUGCGAGCGUUAAUCGGAAUUACUGGGCGUAAAGUGUGCGCAGGUGGCUUCGCAAGUCGAGUGUGAAAUCCCCGGGCUUAACCUGGGAACUGCAUUGGUGACUGGCAGGCUUUGAGUGUGGCAGAGGGAGGUAGAAUUCCACGUGUAGCAGUGAAAUGCGUAGAGAUGUGGAGGAAUACCGAUGGCGAAGGCAGCCUCCUGGGCCAACACUGACGCUCAUGCACGAAAGCGUGGGGAGCAAACAGG